rnacentral:rRNA from 1 species
UCGGGAAUAUUGCGCAAUGGAGGAAACUCUGACGCAGUGACGCCGCGUGCAGGAAGAAGGUUUUCGGAUUGUAAACUGCUUUAGACAGGGAAGAAAAAAAUGACAGUACCUGUAGAAUAAGCUCCGGCUAACUACGUGCCAGCAGCCGCGGUAAUACGUAGGGAGCAAGCGUUAUCCGGAUUUAUUGGGUGUAAAGGGUGCGUAGAUGGAUAAGCAAGUUGGUUGUGAAAUCCCUCGGCUUAACUGAGGAACUGCAACCAAAACUGUUAAUCUUGAGUACUGGAGGGGAAAGCGGAAUUCCUAGUGUAGCGGUGAAAUGCGUAGAUAUUAGGAAGAACACCGGUGGCGAAGGCGGCUUUCUGGACAGCAACUGACAUUGAGGCACGAAAGUGUGGGGAGCAAACAGG